rnacentral:rRNA from 1 species
UACGUAGGGGGCGAGCGUUGUCCGGAUUUAUUGGGCGUAAAGAGCGUGUAGGCGGCCAGGUAGGUCUGCUGUGAAAACUCGAGGCUCAACCUCGAGACGUCGGCGGAAACCAUCUGGCUAGAGUCCGGAAGAGGAGAGUGGAAUUCCUGGUGUAGCGGUGAAAUGCGCAGAUAUCAGGAGGAACACCAAUUGCGAAGGCAGCUCGCUGGGACGUUACUGACGCUGAGACGCGAAAGCGUGGGGAUCAAACAGG